UUGCCUAUGCCAGCAAAUCCUUGUCACCAGCCAUGGAUGUAAGGCUUGUAUACAGCUGCUUGACCAUGGAAAUCCAUGAAGCUUCCAGUGCACAGUUUAUGUUCUCAUGUUAAUGCCAGAGGAGGUACUGAAAAGCAUUGAAGACCCUUGGGCACUAUGAGACACUCAGUACCCUGUAACCUCAUUAUCUCUACACAACCAGUAGAGAUAGUCAGGUAGGUUACAUCCUCCUGGCAAUCGCCAAACCCUGACUCGUCCAUCAGACUGCCACAUAGAGAACACAACUUUUCACAGCUCCAUAGUAGAGUGGUCAUGAGCUUUACACGACUUUAUCCAACACCUCGGAAAGGGUGAUUUAAGGCUUGCAUGCAGCUGCUCAGCCGUGGAAAUCCAUGCAAUGAAGCCUCCAGCACACAGUUUUUGUGCUGAUGUUAAUGCUAGAGGAGGUAAUUAUUGAGUCACUAUGUAUGCACUAUGGGCCACAGCACUUGGAGAUCCUGCUAUGUAGCUUUACAUGGUCUGUCACUAUGUGUGGUUCCUACAUGCUUCUACUUUGCAAGAAUACCACUCACAGUUGAUAGUGGAAUAUCUAGGAGGGAAGGCAUCCUAUUCCAGUAACACACUUGAAUUCAGCUCUUUAGAAUGAAGCAUUCUUUCACAAAUGUUUGUAAAAUGCAGACAAUGUCUAUGUUCUUGAAUUUUUUUAAAACUACAGCAAUGGUACUGAAUGAAACAUCUGAAUUCAAUGAUUAAGAGGUUUGUCCCAAUACUUUUCUCCAUUUAGAGAAUUUGAAAAUGCAGGGCAGCAAAAUGGUUUCUCAUUAGAAGAGCUGUGUUGUUUGUAAAGACAAAAAGCAUAACACUACCUUACAUCUUGUAAUAGAGGGGUAUUCAAGCAGCAGUAAACAGAGAAAAUGUGGUCAUUAAAAAAAGUCCUCAUUUAGCAACUUUUAGAACAGAAAUAUUCAGAUAUUUAAAAGCAGGCAGUAUUUCUACCCCAGAAUUGGCACUGGGAAGAUAUGGGAUGGGUUUGUGGUGUAGGCAGAGCCAUCAGCUCCUGGUCUAAAUUGAAACCCUGAGGUUGAAGUAGAUUUCAUUCUAGGUGAACAGCAUGGCGGAUGAUGCGCCUCGUCAUAAAUUAAACACAUUCUCCAGCAGUACAUGACAGGUGUUACCAUGCUGGUAUUUAAGAAAUGACCCCCAAUGUCUGUGGGCGAGGAGAAGAAUCGUGGGAACCCUAGUCCUGUACAUGGUAAUCUCAUCCAGAGCAAGCACUGAUAGC